rnacentral:misc_RNA from 1 species
AAUUCUCAAUCUCGUUUAACUAAUAUUUGACGAGUUUGGAUUAUGGAGGUUUGCUGGCGAAAGGUUGGCUCCUCUGAAAUGCAUUAGUGAAACCCUUCCAAACGGAAAAUGGGCUUUGGUUUGAUAAUUGCUUUGUCUAUGCCAUUGCCGUUUGCCGUGAUGAUUUCGCUUACAACUGUCUUUGGACAAAUCUUGAUCUC